rnacentral:misc_RNA from 1 species
AAAAAAAAAAAAAUAAAAAAAAACAUAUUUUUUCCUUCUCCACUUCCUUAUCCACUGUUUCUUUUAUACUAACACUAAUUUCCUCCAAUAUAGCAACCUAACAUUUGCCCCUUCUUAUUAUUUUCUUCUAUCCUUAAAAAUUUUUCUCACUUACCUAACCUCUAAAAUGAACCCAAAAAGAGAAGACCAAGAACGUUCAUUGUGAGCCCCAAAACAAAAUGAUUGGGGUCAGUAAGUCCAUUCAUGUGGUAACCUCACAUCGCCAUUCAUUUCUGGUUGUGGCCUGAGACUCCGCUUCUGAUGGGAGACAAGAUGAUUGCUGCUAUUAAGCCUUAAUGCAACAUCACUGUCUGAGGUGAAAGUUCCAUUAAAACGAGGUUGAAGCUGGGGUUGAGCACCCAUGUCAUCCAAGUUUAGGUUCAGGGCCUGCACUACUCUUGCUGGUAGCAGAACUGUAGAACAAGCUGAAAAGAAAUCCAUAAAACCAAAAUCAAUAUCAACAUUCCAAUGAAUCAGAACCAGAACAGUAGAAGUAAAAACAAUUUCCAUAUUGACUUGUAUUAAGGAAUCCGAUGGCCUCCUAUUAUGACCCAGAUCCAUUAACAGAUCAGAUCAAAUAAUGGAAACGAAAAUUCCAUUCCCUGACUUCUUGCGAGUUUCAGCAGUGGUACUAGCUCGGCGAGGUAAGAACACCCCAGUGCCAGCACAUUCCCUUUUGCCCCCAGGAUUGCCGAGGAACACAGCCCGCAUGCCAGACCCGCCUUGGUGGUGUUGCAGAGGAGGCCAAGCAGACGGAGGCAAACCCAAAGGUCUACCAGGAUUUCUGGCUCCGUUGUGGACCACUGACUGGGUUUGUUGCUUUUGGAAAAAUCCAGCACCCUUAGGCUGCCCUCCCCAAAGCCCAGAGCUCUGUUGUUUCAUCAGUUGCUGCUGUCUCAGCUGCUGAAAUUGAGCUGCUUGCAAUUUCUGGUAAGUAAGAGACGGCAUCGGGUAGAGACCCGCAUCAGGUUUUGAGUUUUUCACGGGUACAGAGACAGGAGAGGGUUUUCGUGGUGGACCCAAGAUUCCACUGUUGUGGCCGUUAAGGCCGUACCCUUCUUGAUUAAUUCUCAUCCUCGCUACUUCGCCAGCAGCCGCAUACAGCAGAUCCCAUGUGGCCGGCGUUGAGGAGCCCCUGGAGAAAUCAUUUGGACGGCCACGGCAUGACGCUUGCCUACACCCACAACCACUUCCAAGCCCACAUAGCGUUGAUUGUGGUGAACCUGAUACCACCCAGGCCUUGGUUUUUUCAUUCCCAAAAGUCACAUCGUUUCCCCUAAAAUCGUCUUCAAGCGUGGAGCGAGCCAUUUGGCAAGUUAAGCCAGCGAUGUAGUCUUCCUCGUCACUCUCUUCGGUAGAACCGACCACCGACUCAACCGGAGAACUGAGAUCCGAAGACACCCCGAAGGACCCAACCCCAUAAGGAAAAUCAAGUGGGAAGAAAGGCUUGGAAUAGUCAGUUUCAGAGGAAAACACAUCUUUAGCGUUCUUGAGGCUACAUUUGUUGGUGGUAGUAAUCUUCUUAUCCAUGAAAAUAUCGUCGUCAGUGAGGAACUGAGGAGGCAACCAGAACUCGCCGUCGUCUAAACUAUCUGCCAUAUUUAAACUCUAGCAAUGACAGAGAGAGGGCAACAAAAGGAUAGACGAGGGAGAGGAUGGAGUAAAUGAGAGUUUGCUGCUCGGCUAAGAUAUAAUGAUAGCAACCCCAGUUGGAUUUUUGCUGGAUUUGCAGCUUUAGGGUCCCAGAGAACGCUAUGAAAGAAAAAAGAGAGAGAUAUUUAUAAAGAGAAAGCAGUGCUUAUUAACCAGAAAAGCCUCAAGCCUCAGGGGCCCUUCCCUUUCUAUAGAGAGCAAAAGCACGGAAUUAAGCGAAAGAAGGGAGAAGAGAGUGCGAUUAGAGCCUGCGCCAUGUAUAUUUGUAGUAGCCUAGUAGGGCAGAAAGCCAGAAAAGCAAGGAGAGGUUAUGCUCUGGAGAGCGGACCCUUGCACCCAAAAAGACAAC